rnacentral:rRNA from 1 species
GACGAACGCUGGCGGCGUGCUUAACACAUGCAAGUCGAGCGGAGCGGCGGACGGGUGAGUAAUGCCUAGGCAUCUGCCUGGUAGUGGGGAUCACGUCCGGAAACGGGCGCUUAUACCGCCUACUAUCCGCUUGGCCUAGGUCGGAUUAGCUAGUUGGUGGGGUAAAGGCCUAACAAGGCGACGAUCCGUAACUGGUCUGAGAGGAUGAUCAGUCACACUGGAACGGAGACACGGUCCAGACUCCUACGGGAGGCAGCAGUGGGGAAUAUUGGACAAUGGGCGAAAGCCUGAUCCAGCCAUGCCGCGUGUGUGAAGAAGGUCUUCGGAUUGUAAAGCACUUUAAGUUGGGAGGCGUUACCAACAGAAUAAGCACCGGCUAACUUCGUGCCAGCAGCCGCGGUAAUAC